CAUAGGUUAAUGAGGCGAACCGGGGGAACUGAAACAUCUAAGUACCCCGAGGAAAAGAAAUCAACCGAGAUUCCCCCAGUAGCGGCGAGCGAACGGGGAGGAGCCCAGAGCCUGAAUCAGUGUGUGUGUUAGUGGAAGCGUCUGGAAAGGCGCGCGAUACAGGGUGACAGCCCCGUACACAAAAAUGCACAUAUUGUGAGCUCGAUGAGUAGGGCGGGACACGUGGUAUCCUGUCUGAAUAUGGGGGGACCAUCCUCCAAGGCUAAAUACUCCUGACUGACCGAUAGUGAACCAGUACCGUGAGGGAAAGGCGAAAAGAACCCCGGCGAGGGGAGUGAAAAAGAACCUGAAACCGUGUACGUACAAGCAGUGGGAGCCUCUUAAUGGGGUGACUGCGUACCUUUUGUAUAAUGGGUCAGCGACUUAUAUUCUGUAGCAAGGUUAACCGAAUAGGGGAGCCGAAGGGAAACCGAGUCUUAACUGGGCGUUAAGUUGCAGGGUAUAGACCCGAAACCCGGUGAUCUAGCCAUGGGCAGGUUGAAGGUUGGGUAACACUAACUGGAGGACCGAACCGACUAAUGUUGAAAAAUUAGCGGAUGACUUGUGGCUGGGGGUGAAAGGCCAAUCAAACCGGGAGAUAGCUGGUUCUCCCCGAAAGCUAUUUAGGUAGCGCCUCGUGAAUUCAUCUCCGGGGGUAGAGCACUGUUUCGGCAAGGGGGUCAUCCCGACUUACCAACCCGAUGCAAACUGCGAAUACCGGAGAAUGUUAUCACGGGAGACACACGGCGGGUGCUAACGUCCGUCGUGAAGAGGGAAACAACCCAGACCGCCAGC
rnacentral:rRNA from 1 species